AUGCGCCCCCUAAAGCCCAACCAGCCUUUUUUUUCAUCCUGUUAAGUCUGUGGGGUAACUUCUUCCUUUCAGCUAAUUCAAAUGCCAAUUGCCUGACCUCUGUUGUGUUCAGGCCAAACAUGCAUGUUUCCAAUUUCUUAAUAUGUUGCACUAUCUCGCGUUCAAGUUCUGCAGAAAAUGUGGGUCUAUAACGACCCAAGCCUUUUUGAGAACGUUUUAUUCUUUUAUUUUUAUCCUGUGCCCUUCGUCUAACGGUUGCUUGCGGUACACCAUAUCUUUUAGACGCCGCAAACAAGCCCAGAUCACCGUUUUGGACUGCUUUAAUAGCUUCGCUCAUGCGUGCCUCACCCCAAUUUUGACGCAUCGAUUUACGCGUAUACUUUCCAACCAUAUUAUCUGAAAUCAUAAAAACAUAAGUAUAGGUUUCAGCCUAUGUCGUUUUACACCAACACUGUGUAUGCCAUUUUGCCCAAAGAAUAAGUGUGUUAGAAAUGACCCAAAUACUUAUUAAAAACACAAAAAAAAUCGGAGUUAAAUCACAUCAAAAUAAAGAAAAAAGUCAAUUUUUUUACCUGGACUAACCGUACUUAGGCUUAUCGUACCUCAUCAAGUGAUAUCGAGAAAUUAGAAAACCACAGAACAAUGUUUUCAGGUUCGGAAAAAGUUUUUUUCGGUAUUCCUUAAAAACACGUGUAUUCUGCCCCGCAGAGUAGACUCGACUGAGGUCACAGCUGCAAACCAAUUACAUUUUGUCAUUUACGACAGCGUUGCCACGUCUCAAAUUAGAGAAGUGGCCGAUAUGCCAUUUUACCCUAGUAUGUCAUUUUAGGUCAGUUUCUCCUAAAUAGAUUCAUCAAAACUUUAUUUGAAUUUCUUUCUAUUUCAAUUAAUUUUUAGGUAACUAUUUUAAAGAAACACCCACGUGUAUAUUGAUCAACUAAAUAUAACUGUCAAACGUCAAUAGCAUAGCAUUGUUUGGGCAUGACCUUUCAUGGCCGCGUAUAGGAAAUAUGUCAAAAUAUUCCGAUUUUUACAGAAACUUGCUUUAAUUUCAGAAACCGAACUACUUAGAUAUAGAAACAUGAUACCUCGUUAGAAAGGGUCAAAAAAUAAAGAAAAUACCUACAUAUAACACCUUAUACAAAAACCAUUAUAAAGCAAUAACGGAUCAUUAAAUAAAAUAAUAUACAGGGUAUUCUAUUUAAAACAAACAAAGCAUAAAAAUAACAAAGUUACUACUACUUUUUAAUAGAAGCGGCAACGCUGCAUUUCUAAAAAUAUUUUUAAUCGUUAGAACACUAGCUACCCUUGAUGCCAAAUUUUCAAAAAAAUUCUAUUUGCCGUCCUCCGUAAACGUCUAAGGUACCAUCAACCAUCAAUCACCCUGUAUAUAUAUCAUUAAAAAUUUGUAGUAGAAUUUUUUUGACAAAAUCUGGUAAGUUUGAAACCAUGGAGUAUUAAGUAUUAUUGAUCCCUGGUGCGGUAUUGUUUUUAUUUUUUAGAGUACGGGCAAGCUCUUCCAUUUGAAAAAGCCAACACAAAGAGCACAUCCUCCUUAGAUGCUUCAGUAAAGCUGGUGUCGCUGGAUACAUAACAGGAGGUUACAUUUUUAUGGCUGAUUGUAUAUAUGGCGUUAGUAAAUAAGACCUGGGGGCAUUAGACACUUGCGGGUGGCUGAGAUGAGAGGUCAUGCCUCAGGAAGCGUGAGGCAGAGAAAGAGACAUAGCACGAAGAUUGUAUUACUUUUGGAUUGCCACAUCCGUCAAGGAUCUAUACGAGUAGUAUGAUAGAUAAUUUUGUAACACUUCUAGUAGAUAAAAGCUUAACUUCCGACUAGUGGAUGAACUACCCAAGCGUCCUCGUCAGACAAAACAGGAAAGCCAACUGAAUUUUAAAUAACAAAUUAAAUAUUUACAAAAUGUUAAGUAACGCUGAAAGGAUCGCCACGGUCGAAAAUUUUUAAAACAGUUUGUCGCCAUUCUUUAAUUGGUGAAGUUUUAAAAACAAAGAGAUAUAUAUCAUGAACCGUAAAAUUACAAAACCUAAAGAAUGUGAACA
rnacentral:lncRNA from 1 species